rnacentral:tRNA from 1 species
AAGAAGUUAGUUUAAAAAAACCAAUGAUUUCGACUCAUAAGAUCUUAUAAGUAAUUAAGACUUCUUA